rfam:Aedes aegypti strain Liverpool supercont1.79 genomic scaffold, whole genome shotgun sequence.
UGCCCAGCAACUUCUAUCACUACCUCCUCGUGGUACUGACCGGGGUACGAGCAACCUUAGGGAAGA